UACGUAGGGUGCAAGCGUUGUCCGGAAUUAUUGGGCGUAAAGAGCUCGUAGGCGGUCUGUCGCGUCGGCUGUGAAAACCUGGGGCUCAACUCCGGGCCUGCAGUCGAUACGGGCGGACUAGAGUUCGGCAGGGGAGACUGGAAUUCCUGGUGUAGCGGUGAAAUGCGCAGAUAUCAGGAGGAACACCGGUGGCGAAGGCGGGUCUCUGGGCCGAUACUGACGCUGAGGAGCGAAAGCGUGGGGAGCGAACAGG
rnacentral:rRNA from 1 species